CCCUUAGAUGUUCUGGGCCGCACGCGCGCUACACUGACGGAGUCAACGAGUUGUCCUGCAUCGGAAGGUGUGGGUAAUCUUUUGAAACUUCGUCGUGCUGGGGAUAGAUCUUUGCAAUUUUCGAUCUUGAACGAGGAAUUCCUAGUAAGCGUGAUUCAUCAGAUCGCGUUGAUUACGUCCCUGCCCUUUGUACACACCGUCCGUCGCUACUACCGAUUGAAUGGUUUAGUGAGGCCUCGGGACUGGCGCGCUCGAGUAGCAAUACACCUGCGCGCCGGGAACUUGGUCAAACUUGAUCAUUUAGAGGAAGUAAAAGUCGUAACA
rnacentral:rRNA from 1 species